rnacentral:rRNA from 1 species
GAGACCCACGCCCACAGUUGCCAGCGUACUCUCCGGAGUGACGGGUACACUAUGGGGACCGCCGCUGCUAAAGCGGAGGAAGGAAUGGGCAACGGUAGGUCAGUAUGCCCCGAAUAUCCCGGGCUACACGCGAGCUACAAUGGUUGGUACAAUGGGUAUCUACCCCGAAAGGGGAUGGAAAUCUCCUAAAGCCAAUCUUAGUUCGGAUUGAGGGCUGCAACUCGCCCUCAUGAAGCUGGAAUCCGUAGUAAUCGCGUUUCAACAGAACGCGGUGAAUAC